AUACGGAGGGUGCAAGCGUUACUCGGAAUCACUGGGCGUAAAGCGCGCGCAGGCGGCUAUUUAAGUUGGAUGUGAAAGCCUACGGCUCAACCGUAGAACUGCAUCCAAAACUAUUUAGCUAGAGUGUGAGAGAGGAAGAUGGAAUUAGUUGUGUAGGGGUAAAAUCCGUAGAGAUAACUAGGAAUACCAAAAGCGAAGGCAAUCUUCUGGAACACUACUGACGCUGAGGCGCGAAAGCGUGGGGAGCAAACAGGAUUAGAAACCCUAGUAGUCC
rnacentral:rRNA from 1 species